GUUGGCUGACGAUCCCCUUCUUCCUUCAGCAGCUCAGAAAGUAGUAUGACGAUGUUAGUGGGGAUAAAAUGCUAGAGUGACAACGCUGAUGCAGCCUCAGACCACCACAAAAGAUAUAGGAUGAUGAAGAUUGUGAGGAGAGACCGAGACAGAGCAGAGUUGGGUAGAGGAAGGGCGGGGGAUGAAAUGCCACGAUCUAUAAGGUUUCCUAUUAUAGCUCGGAAUCGAUAGUCAUCUGCUGCUUCACAGGUUGAGCUAUGAAUUCCAUCAUUACAGAUAUCUACUACUUUGUUGCUGGGGUUACCAGAGA